CAGUAGCCGCGGUAAUACGGAGGGUGCAAGCGUUAAUCGGAAUUACUGGGCGUAAAGCGCACGCAGGCGGUUUGUUAAGUCAGAUGUGAAAUCCCCGGGCUCAACCUGGGAACUGCAUCUGAUACUGGCAAGCUUGAGUCUCGUAGAGGGGGGUAGAAUUCCAGGUGUAGCGGUGAAAUGCGUAGAGAUCUGGAGGAAUACCGGUGGCGAAGGCGGCCCCCUGGACGAAGACUGACGCUCAGGUGCGAAAGCGUGGGGAGCAAACAGGAUUAGAUACCCGCGUAGUCCCUGUCUCUUAUAU
rnacentral:rRNA from 1 species